GACGAACGCUGGCGGCGUGCUUAACACAUGCAAGUCGAACGGAAAGGCCCUGCUUUUGUGGGGUGCUCGAGUGGCGAACGGGUGAGUAACACGUGAGUAACCUGCCCUUGCCUUUGGGAUAACUUCAGGAAACUGGGGCUAAUACCGGAUAGGAGCUCCUUCUGCAUGGUGGGCGUUGGACAGUUUCGGCGGUUGGGGAUGGACUCGCGGCUUAUCAGCUUGUUGGUGGGGUAGUGGCUUACCAAGGGUUUGACGGGUAGACGGCCUGAGAGGGUUACCGGCCACAUUGGGACUGAGAUACGGCCCAGACUCCUACUGGAGGCAGCAGUGGGGAAUAUUGCACAAUGGGCGGAAGCCUGAUGCAGCAACGCCGCGUGCGGGAUGACGGCCUGCGGGUUGUAAACCGCUUUCGCCUGUGACGAAGCGUGAGUGACGGUAAUGGGUAAAGAAGCACCGGCUAACUACGUG
rnacentral:rRNA from 1 species